GAGGGGGAGACAGCCCUGACCGUCGUCUAAGGUCCCCAAGCGCGUGCUAAGUGGGAAAGGAUGUGGAGUCGCAUAGACAGCCAGGAGGUUGGCUCAGAAGCAGCCAUCCUUGAAAGAGUGCGUAACAGCUCACUGGUCUAGUGGUUCCGCGCCGACAAUGUAGCGGGGCUCAAGCACGCCACCGAAGACGCGGCAACGACCAUAUUGGUUGUUGGGUAGGAGAGCGUCCCAUUCUGGGUUGAAGCCGCGGAGUGAUCCUGUGGUGGACCGUAUGGGAGUGAGAAUGCAGACAUGAGUAGCGAGAGCAAGGUGAGGAUCCUUGCCGCUGGAUGACCAAGGGUUCCAGGGCCACGUUCGUCGUCCCUGGGUGAGUCGGGUCCUAAGGCGAGGCCGACAGGCGUAGUCGAAUGGAUGAACGGGUUGAUAUUCCCGUACCGGCCCUUUGACCGACCAAACGGCCCCCUGGCCGAACACACAUUUCCGUGUUGGUUCCCAUGCCCUUCGGGGUGUGGGGCGAUGCAUGGGUCUGUGUGGGGCGCCUUGGGGUCGAGCGCGUGGAGUGACGCGGACGGGUAGCCGGCCGGGGAGGUGGUUUUCCCUGGUCAAGCGUGUGGCCCCGCCCCCAGGCAAAUCCGGGGGCAUCAUGGGGUGAGGCGUGACGAUGGGGGCCCUUGUGGCCCGAUAUCCGGUGAUCCCGUCGGCCGAGAAAAGCUUCGGCGUGAGGUCUUGGGCCGCUCGUACCCCAAACCGACACAGGUGGUCAGGUAGAGUAUACCAAAGCGAGCGAGCGAAUCCUGGUCAAGGAACUCGGCAAACCGCUCCCGUGCCUUCGGCAUAAGGGAGACCCCCCGCGGUGACGGGCCCGUGCGGCCCUCGAGCGGUGGGGGGUGGCACAAGCCAGGGGGUAGCGACUGUUUACCAAAAACACAGGUGCAUGCCAAGACGCAAGUCGCCGUAUAUGCACUGACGCCUGCCCGGUGCCGGAAGGUUAAGAGGAUCCAUCAGCGCGGCUUGCCGCGCGAAGUGGUGAAUUCAAGCCCCGGUAAACGGCGGUGGUAACUAUAACCAUCCUAAGGUAGCGAAAUUCCUUGUCGGGUAAGUUCCGACCUGCACGAAUGGCGUAACGACUUCCCCGCUGUCUCGACCAGGAGCUCGGCGAAAUUGCAGUACGAGUAAAGAUGCUCGUUAAGCGCAGAAGGACGAAAAGACCCCGGGACCUUUACUAUACCUUGGUAUUGGCAUCAGGUGCGGAUUGUGUAGCAUAGGCGGGAGACUGUGAAGCACGCACGCCAGUGUGUGUGGAGUCGGCCGGUGAAAUACCGCUCUGUCCCCAUCUGAUGCCUAACCCGGACAAGUGAGCCUUGUCGGGGACAGUGCCUGGCGGGUAGUUUAACUGGGGCGGUUGCCUCCCAAAGAGUAACGGAGGCGCUCAAAGGUCCGCUCGGCCCGGUUGGCAAUCGGGUGUCGAGUGUAAUCGCACAAGCGGGCUUGACUGCGAGAUCGACGGAUCGAGCAGGGCCGAAAGUCGGAGAUAGUGAUCCGGUGCCGGCGUACGGACGCGGCAUCGCUCAACGGAU
rnacentral:rRNA from 1 species